CAAAUCUCCUUUGAGUGGAGCUCUGCCCUCCUGGCCCCAUCAGAGGAGGAUCCUGACCUCUGGCCACUGACUGUGUACAUGCCGCAGAAACACCACAGAGUCUGGGAGCAUAUCUGGAGGUGCUGACUUUGGGGUAAAAAGUCUCAUUCAGCUCUGCAACAGAAGCCUGGAAAAUGGUGUUUUGGACGCUGGGUGAGAAGCUCUAAACCAGAUUUGCCCAUUUAGAAAAUCAUUUCUAAUCUGGGGCUACUGAUGAGGAAGACCAAAUGCCACCAAACAGAGGCAUUUGAAAGGAGGGGUACAGAAGAGGUGGCCACGCUCUUUGAACAGGAGCAGUGCAACUGUCCAGGAGCAGAUCCAGAUGCUGCUUCUGUGCUGAACCAACACAUGGCAGGAGCCUUCCAGACAUGUGCCCCAGGGUCUGCAUGAGGAAAACUCUCUUGCAUACCACUGAGAAGAGUCACCCCAGCACUUGUGUCCCCACUGCAGAGGCAUUACGUGAGACAGCCACCACAGAUGCAAGACACAAAUGUUGCCCCAGUGCAAUAUGUUCUAAACACACUCUGGGACGUGGGACACUCCGAUGAUCAAAAAACUUUCUGACAAAGGACUAUGGAAAAGAGAGUUUGACACAUUUGCCAUCCAGAACAGAAGAACAAGCUCAAGUCAGAUGCUGCGGCUUUCCUCCCUUCCCUGUUGUAUCACCCAGCUGGCAAAAACCACCCUGAGGAGAUAACUGCUCUGAUGGAUUGUGUCAUUUUUCAAACUACCUUAUUGGCAAACAGUCAGUAUGUUGGGCUACGUGUUGAAAUUACAGCUCACAAACUUCCUAAGUACUUUCCCCAUUAGGGAAGAAUCAGUCAAGUGACGAAGCAAUGAAUGAAGACAGGAUUGCUUUAAUCUCUGAAAACCAGAAACUUUUCCUUUAGAAGAGGAGUUGUUCAGAAGAACAAUGAAAGCUGUGGGUGACAGCACCUUGAAAAGGCCUGAACUUAUUCUGGCGUCUCUCCUCCUGGUUGUUUGAAUACUGCGCAGUCCCAAUUCAGGGAUGUCUUUCUCCAGGAGCUAUAAAAGCUUUUCUUUCCACUCAACUCACUUUCACAGGCCCACAGGUAAGAAUAAAGUACUUAAAACGAUGCGGACUACUUUACAUUUGAUGAAA